UCUUUGGGCCAUGUGCUUGUGUUGUCUCGUUCCCUUGCCCCGCCCCCCUUGUUAUCCUAGUCUUGUCGUGAUUGUCCUAUCUGUGCCACCUGUCGUGUCUUGAUUAGUUCCCCUAUUUAGAUCUCCUAGUGUGCUCUGUCUUUUGUCGGUUCAUUGUGAUUGUUCAACUUAUGUGUUCCCACCAGUCAGCCUCCAGAGAUAUCUUGUCCUUGAAACCCCUCAAAGAAGUCUUUUGUCUAGCAGUGAGUGUUUGUUAGUAGUUAGUGUUCAGAGUCUUUGUUUACCUUGUUUAUUGUGUUUUGUAGAAUUAUUUAGUGUCUACCCUAGCCCUUGUUUUCCCCCCCGUGGGUUUUUGUUUUCCCUUUUUGUUAAAUAAAUCCUGUGUUUAGUUACUUCCUGUCUGCACCUGAGUUCCUCCCUUACCAACCCAUAACAAUAUAUACAUAUCUCUUUUUUUACAAAGAAAACAAGUACUGUAGUAAGAAUAGAAAAAGAAUAGAGUGUGCUACAUAUAUAUUUUUUAGAGUUAGAAUAGAGUGCUAUUUUUGUUUGUGUGUUUUCAAAAGCAAAUUGAAGGUGUGUCAGUUCUCAAGUUCACCACAUGAGGUCGCCACUUUGCACUACUGUAUUUACAGUUCCUGCCGGUAGGAUGACAAGAAAACUAAAAGAGAUGCUAGUGAGACGACAGAAUGCAGCAGAAGAAAAAGAAUAGCAGAGAAAGGAAACGGCACUGAAAGACAAAGCUGCGCCGAAGGAAAAAACAAUGAAGAGAAGCGGGAAAAAAAGCCUGAACAUCUAAAAUUGAACCAGAUGAACAGCCUUGACAUAAAUCGAUCAAAAUUGUAUCUGAUGUGGAUGUUUACUAAGAUUUGUGUGUGCGGAAAUGAAAAACCAGGCUGGGUUUUUAGUUAAAAUGAAUAAAAGUGACUUUUAUCAAGAACACAUGUGAAGUGAAAUCCUCCAGUAAUAAAUCUAAAUAUAUCACAUAUUAAAUCAAAUACUUAUUUAUCGGUAGGUUUUCACUAAAUUCCACACGGCAACACUGAUUCAUAAAGGAUGACAAUUAAAGGAACAGUUCACCCAAAAAUUAAAAGUGACUUAAAUUGUGCUCACCCUCAGGCCAUCCCAGAUUAGGAUGAGUUUAUUCUUCUUCAGAUAUUGUGAUGUUUUUAUCAGCUGUUUGGACUCUCAUUCUGACGGCACCCAUUCACUGCAGAGCAUCCAUUGAUUAGACACUGAUGCAGUGCUACAUUUCUACAAAUCUGAUGAACUUGUAAACUUGUCAUUACUUUGCUUGUGCUUUUUGAUGUAUUUUCAUCUGAAGCAUCAGGUUUCUCAUUCAAGUGCACAGUGAGAUCUCUGUUUUUGAAUUGCAUGAACCC
rnacentral:lncRNA from 12 species